rnacentral:rRNA from 1 species
ACUCAAAUGAAUUGACGGGGAAACACACAAUCUGCGUCCCAUGUGGUUUAAUUCGAUACGAAACGAAGAACCUUACCUGGGUUUGACAUACUGGUCGCAUCUUAUGGAAACAUAGGAGUCAGUUCGGCUGGACCAGAUACAGCUGCUGCAUGGUUGUCGUCAGUUCGUGUCGUGAGGCGUCCACUUAAGUGUGGUAACGAACGCAACCCCUGUCGUAUGUUGUAUAUUCAUACGAAACUGCCUUGGUAGAUCCAGGGAGGAAGGAGGGGACGACGUCAAAUCAUCAUGGCGCUUACAUCCAGGGCUACACACAUGGGGUAAUGGGAAGGACAACGGGUCGCGAAAGGGUAACCUCGAGCUAAUCCUAAUAAACCUUUCCUCAGUUCGGAUUGGGGGCUGCAACUCGCCCCCAUGAAGGGGAGUAGAUAGUAAUCGCAGGUCAGCUAUACUGCGGUGAAUACGUUCUUGUUUCUUGUACACACCGCCCGU